AUACGUAGGGAGCGAGCGUUGACCGGAAUUACUGGGCGUAAAGGGCGCGUAGGCGGCGCUUCAAGUCGUCUGUCAAAUGGGAGGGCUUAACCCUUUUUCGCAGACGAAACUGGAGAGCUUGAGAAGCAGAGAGGCAAACAGAAUUCCUGGUGUAGCGGUGAAAUGCGUAGAUAUCAGGAAGAAUACCAGUGGCGAAGGCGGUUUGCUGGCUGCAUACUGACGCUGAAGCGCGAAAGCCAGGGGAGCAAACGGGAUUAGAUACCCCGGUAGUCCUGGCAGUAAACGAUGUAUGCUGGGUGUGAGACUAGCGAUAGUUUCGUGCCGAAGUUAACGCGAUAAGCAUACCGCCUGGGGAGUACGGUCGCAAGAUUGAAACUCAAAUGAAUUGGCGGGG
rnacentral:rRNA from 1 species